AUAAAAGACAACAGGCAGGAAGGGGUUGAGUUCAGACCAUGCCAAGAAGGUUAGGCAAGGGACUAAUUUUGAUUAUGGCUCUCAAACGAUUCAACACGUAAUACUGUUUUGGUUCCCUUGUCUCUCCACCCCUGCUUGUGCCCGCUUAAGUGUGCCAUUAAGCAUUUUGAGGCAGGGAUGUUGACAUGCUUAUGCAGUUCUAUGGUGCCAUAGCCUACUUCACCUCUAGGUACUGCCACAACAUAAAUGUUAAAUAUGCGGCCUGGCAUGGGAUAGAUGAAGCUCUAGAGGGAUUAUGAAGUGGGUGGGAGCAGUAAGAGUAAAGGUGAGGUUGGAUAAUACUGGACCAGAUAAAUCCCUGCAAAAGGUAUGUCAGGACCUGUCCUACACAGUCUCUGAGUGGGGAAUGGCCUAGAUGACUUGAUACUGUAAGACAUUUUUGGAGUGAUAUCUUUUAUUAGACCAACUGCAUGGUUGGGAUGAAGCUAGGCAAGCUUUCAAAUGCAAGAAAUUCUUCAUCAGGUAACUCAUCAUUAGAGAGUCAACAUUUCCCUAAACUGACAGAACAUGCUAUAGUCGUUUCCUUAUACUUUUUAGAAUGAAUCCUUCUAAACAUUUAGUAGUGACCAUAAUAAGACUUUUCUGACUCUUUCACUAGGAUCCAUGGACAGGCCUGAAUUGUGAGUCCAGAUUUUCGGGUGGUGGCAAUCAGCGCAGCUCUACUGAAGGCAGGCUGAUGGGCACCAGCUGAAGAUCGGACCCAUGAUUGAUUUUGCAGCUGCAGAAAACACCUUGAAAGGGACAAGGACACCUGGAAAUUUCUAGCAAAGCACUGGGACUGAGACACAAGAAAGGAAGAAAAACAAUGUGCUCUGAUUGCCCAGCAAGUGACCGUUGGGGCUAAGAUGCAUUGCCAGAAUCUGGCUGACACAUUUCACAAAUACUCUCUCUCUCUCUCUCCUAACUCUUGUUCUAGAUCAAGGAAAGUGGCAGAAUGAGCCAUGAGGCGAUUCAAGCAGCAGCAGGCAGGACUAAAGUCUCAACACAUGCAACAAGGACAGAAAUAGCCUCCGAGUUGAAAUUAAAUAUAAUAAUCAUGAUCAUAAUACUCAUCAGAACCCAAAUUGGCAAAUUAAACACUGCCUCUUCCCAAACCCUGUACACCAGUGGCUAAGUAGGAGAUCAGCUUUGGCAUUUAAAAGCAACUCAAGGUCUACUGUGCACCACCGCCAACUCCCUGCCCAGCAGCGACUUAUUCAAUCAAAGAAGAUGCCAAUGAGCAUACACACUAGUCAUCGUCAUAAAAGAUGCCAGGAGAAAGAGUAAUAGGUUCUAGGGUCAGAAGGAACCU